CUUGCCAUCUCGGGUUUCCAUUAAAGCAGUGAAAGUUUCCGAGUUUGGAGUUCAAGGGGGACACUGAGGCAAACUGACCUUUUGGAUAGAGAUUCAUUAGGGGAGUUAUUAACACCACAGACAGACAGACAGACAGCAGGACGGAGGCUCCCGUGUGAGCUCAGGCCCCAAGGCCACAGACAGUUGCCAGCAUAUUCUACCUGAUGCCCGGUAAUUACCUCACCCUCUGGGUCACCUGGCAAAGCUGCCUGUCAUCUACUUGGUCUUGCCUAGGGCAGUGACCUCAUUGUUGACUCUGAUACAGGGUAGAGCGUCCUCAAAGGGUAUGGGACCUGAUGUUGGUAAACCAGCCGCUUGCCAAGGAGGCCGGUGUCUGGGCCUGGGUGGAGGGGCUGAAACUAACCAGCAUUCACAGUUAAGACUGUAACCAAGAAGCAGUCAAAGACAGAUGCGAGGGAGUUAAGACUGACUUGGUUCUAAGGAGACAACCCCUUUUUGGAACGGAAAUGAGGUUGGAUGUGGACCUGGAGGGAAAGAUCUGAUGUCUGAUCCAGACGCAGCUCCACUCACGCUCCUGCCCCAGGCCAGCCUUUAUGCAGAGGCAUAAGGAUCCCUCCCUUUGGUCUUAGAACUUGGUCUCUUUGCUUAGUGGCAGCAAACUAUUUCUGAAUCUCAGGAACACAUGGUUUAGAGCUUUCUCCAUAGGACAGAAAAUGGGCCUUUUAGACAGGCAUGAUGGUGUGUAUCUAUAAUCCUGGAAUUUAGGAAACUGAGGCAGGAGGAUUGCUGUGGACUUGAGGAUGGUGUAAACUAUAUAUGAGCUUUUGCUUAGCUGGUCAAGAGGCAGCUUGAGUCUGAGGCUCCUCACUCCCAGUAUCCACCCUCUUUGCCCCUUCUUUAUGACAUUUAAUAAUUUAAAUAAUUAUAAUUUAGAUAAAUAGACAUUUAUUUAAGGUGAGACAGCUGCAGAGCAAAUCAUUCUUAAAUGGUGAUUCUGGUUGAAGCAGCUUCAGAAGCGCUCUAGACCGGGCACGUCCACGGAUCUUAACUACACGAUCACUUCUGCGCCCAUUCUAUCGCUUCUCUUUCCUGAACAGCAUCUUCAGAUGUGGCUGAAGUAGGAUUUAGCUCCUCGUAUCUCAUCCAUUGUUCCUUAGGCAAGAGCAGACGCAUCAUGGUCAGGUCCAGGGUCUCUUAAUACAAAAAUCUUGUCAUUAUAGGGGUCCUCUGGAAGCCUCCUUUUGGCGACUUUCACAUCUUCAGUCUCUAGUAUUGUAUAACUGCUCCCUAACCCAGUUUGUUGACUCCCGCAGCAUUGUAAUAGAUGCUUGAACACCAUCCCGCCUUGCUUGGGCAACAGCCUGCUGUUUUGACCACCUGAUUGCUCUGUUAACAGGAAAAGUUGAGUGUGCCA